UAAAUACUCCCUCUGUCCCACAAUUCUUGUCUUAGAUUUGUCUAAAUACGGAUGUAUCAAGUCACGUUUUAGUAUUAGAUACAUUCGUAUCUAGACAAAUCUAAGACAAGAAUUUUGGGACGGAGGGAGUAUAUC
rfam:Triticum aestivum genome assembly, contig: Triticum_aestivum_CS42_TGACv1_scaffold_000484_1AL